UUUAAUUAUUAUUUUAUUAGAUUUACUAUACCCGAAAUUAGAAGAUCUAAUUUAUUAUUUUAAUAGAGAGAGUAAAACUAAUGUUUCAAAAUUAGGAGUAAAAUAGUAACUUAGGGGUGAAAGGCUUAUCAAUUCUAAUGAUAUCUGGAUUAACUUUAAAUGUAUUUAGUACAGAGGUAACAUUGAAUAAAGGAGUGUUAAGAUUUCUUUAAUAUUGUAUUUUAAAUUUUAAAAAAUUUAUGGGGUAAAUCUCUUAAUUAGUUUUUACUUAUAAAUAUAUAAUUUUGUAAUCUUUACUUUAAAGUUAUAUUUUUUUAAAUUAAUAAUUGAAUUAAUUUUGUUAAAAUUAGUAUAGUAAAAUAUUUGUUUUUAAGGAACUCGGCAAAUUAAUAUUCAACUGUUUAUCAAAAACAUAGCAUUAUGUAUAAAUAUAAAGUUUUACCUGCCCGGUGAAUAUUUUUAACGGCCGCAGUACCUUGACUGUGCUAAGGUAGCAUAAUAAAUUGACUUUUAAUUGAAGUCUUGAAUGAAAGGUGUAAUGGAUAUUUACUGUCUCAGUAAAAUUUACUUUAAUUUACUUAAAAGGUGAAAAUACCUUUGGUUUUUUAAUAGACGAGAAGACCCUAGGAGUUUGAUUUAUUUUUGUUGGGGCGACAUUACAGCAUUUAACCUGUAUUAUUAUUAUUUUGUCUUUAACGAAAGUUUUUAAUUAUAACUAAACUACCCUAGGGAUAACAGCAUAAUUUAUUUUUAAGUUUGUGACCUCGAUGUUGGAUUAGGGAUUUUUAAUGUUAACAACUUUAAAAUUUUGUUCUGUUCGAACAUUUGUCCCUACAUGAUCUGAGUACAGACCGG
rnacentral:rRNA from 1 species